AUACGGAGGGAGCGAGCGUUAAUCGGAAUUACUGGGCGUAAAGCGCGCGUAGGCGGCUUUGUAAGUCGGAUGUGAAAGCCCUGGGCUUAAUCUGGGAAUGGCAUUCGAUACUGCAGAGCUAGAGUAUGGUAGAGGGAAGUGGAAUUUCCGGUGUAGCGGUGAAAUGCGUAGAUAUCGGAAGGAACACCAGUGGCGAAGGCGACUUCCUGGGCCAAUACUGACGCUGAGGUGCGAAAGCGUGGGGAGCAAACAGGAUUAGAAACCCCAGUAGUCC
rnacentral:rRNA from 1 species